UGGGAAUUUUGGACAAUGGGCGAAAGCCUGAUCCAGCAAUGCCGCGUGUGUGAAGAAGGCCUUCGGGUUGUAAAGCACUUUUGUCCGGAAAGAAAUCCUUGGCUCUAAUACAGUCGGGGGAUGACGGUACCGGAAGAAUAAGCACCGGCUAACUACGUGCCAGCAGCCGCGGUAAUACGUAGGGUGCAAGCGUUAAUCGGAAUUACUGGGCGUAAAGCGUGCGCAGGCGGUUUGCUAAGACCGAUGUGAAAUCCCCGGGCUCAACCUGGGAACUGCAUUGGUGACUGGCAGGCUAGAGUAUGGCAGAGGGGGGUAGAAUUCCACGUGUAGCAGUGAAAUGCGUAGAGAUGUGGAGGAAUACCGAUGGCGAAGGCAGCCCCCUGGGCCAAUACUGACGCUCAUGCACGAAAGCGUGGGGAGCAAACAGGAUUAGAUACCCUGGUAGUCCACGCCCUAAACGAUGUCAACUAGUUGUUGGGGAUUCAUUUCCUUAGUAACGUAGCUAACGCGUGAAGUUGACCGCCUGGGGAGUACGGUCGCAAGAUUAAAACUUAAAUGAAUUGACGGGGUCAUAGCUGUUUCCU
rnacentral:rRNA from 1 species